AGUGAACGCUGGCGGUAGGCCUAACACAUACAAGUCGAACGGCAGCACAGUAAGAGCUUGCUCUUACGGGUGGCGAGUGGCGGACGGGUGAGGAAUACAUCGGAAUCUACUUUUUCGUGGGGGAUAACGUAGGGAAACUUACGCUAAUACCGCAUACGACCUACGGGUGAAAGCAGGGGAUCUUCGGACCUUGCGCGAUUGAAUGAGCCGAUGUCGGAUUAGCUAGUUGGCGGGGUAAAGGCCCACCAAGGCGACGAUCCGUAGCUGGUCUGAGAGGAUGAUCAGCCACACUGGAACUGAGACACGGUCCAGACUCCUACGGGAGGCAGCAGUGGGGAAUAUUGGACAAUGGGCGCAAGCCUGAUCCAGCCAUACCGCGUGGGUGAAGAAGGCCUUCGGGUUGUAAAGCCCUUUUGUUGGGAAAGAAAAGCGGCAGGUUAAUACCCCGCUGUUCUGACGGUACCCAAAGAAUAAGCACCGGCUAACUUCGUG
rnacentral:rRNA from 1 species